rnacentral:rRNA from 1 species
AGUGAACGCUGGCGGUAGGCCUAACACAUGCAAGUCGAACGGCAGCACAGGAGAGCUUGCUCUCUGGGUGGCGAGUGGCGGACGGGUGAGGAAUACAUCGGAAUCUACUCUGUCGUGGGGGAUAACGUAGGGAAACUUACGCUAAUACCGCAUACGACCUACGGGUGAAAGCAGGGGACCUUCGGGCCUUGCGCGAUUGAAUGAGCCGAUGUCGGGUUAGCUAGUUGGCGGGGUAAAGGCCCACCAAGGCGACGAUCCGUAGCUGGUCUGAGAGGACGAUCAGCGACACUGGAACUGAGCCACGGUCCAGACUCCUACGGGAGGCAGCAGGGGGGAAUAUUGGACAAUGGGCGCAAGCCUGAUCCAGCCAUACCGCGUGGGUGAAGAAGGCCUUCGGGUUGUAAAGCCCUUUUGUUGGGAAAGAAAUCCAGCUGGCUAAUACCCGGUUGGGAUGACGGUACCCAAAGAAUAAGCACCGGCUAACUUCGUGCCAGCCGCCGCCGUAA